rnacentral:rRNA from 1 species
ACGAACGCUGGCGGCAUGCCUAACACAUGCAAGUCGAACGAGACCUUCGGGUCUAGUGGCGCACGGGUGCGUAACGCGUGGGAACCUGCCUUUAGGUUCGGAAUAACUCAGAGAAAUUUGAGCUAAUACCGGAUGAUGUCUUCGGACCAAAGAUUUAUCGCCUUUAGAUGGGCCCGCGUUGGAUUAGCUAGUUGGUGGGGUAAAGGCCUACCAAGGCGACGAUCCAUAGCUGGUCUGAGAGGAUGAUCAGCCACACUGGGACUGAGACACGGCCCAGACUCCUACGGGAGGCAGCAGUGGGGAAUAUUGGACAAUGGGCGAAAGCCUGAUCCAGCAAUGCCGCGUGAGUGAUGAAGGCCUUAGGGUUGUAAAGCUCUUUUACCCGAGAUGAUAAUAACAGUAUCGGGAGAAUAAGCUCCGGCUAACUCCGUG